UACGUAGGGACCGAGCGUUGUCCGGAAUCAUUGGGCGUAAAGAGCGUGUAGGCGGCCACUUAAGUCCUGCGUGAAAUCUUGCGGCUCAACCGCAAGCGGUCGUGGGAAACUGGGUGGCUAGAGUGCGGGGGAGGAGAGUGGAAUUCCUGGUGUAGCGGUGGAAUGCGCAGAUAUCAGGAAGAACACCCGUGGCGAAGGCGGCUCUCUGGAACGCAACUGACGCUGAGACGCGAAAGCGUGGGGAGCAAACAGG
rnacentral:rRNA from 1 species